UCAAUAAUGGGCUAUUCCAUUUAAUAUCCGUACCCCCCCUGUCGAGGAUCCCUGGAAUUCUUCAGGGGUAAAGGGUUUUGAGCUUGGAAUUCUUCAGGGGUAAAGGGUUUUGAGCUUGGAAUUCUUCAGGGGUAAAGUGUUUUGAGUUUGGAAUUCUUCAGGGGUAAAGGGUUUUGAGCUUGUAAUUCUUCAGGGGGGAAGGGUUUUGAGCUUGGAAUUCUUCAGGGGUAAAGGGGUUUGACUUUGAAAUUUUUCAGAGCUUGGAAUUCUUCAGGGCUGAAGGGUUUUCAGCUUGGAAUUAUUCAAGGGUAAAAGGUUUUGAGCUUGGAAUUCUUCAGGGGUAAAGGGUUUUGAGCUUGGAAUUCUUCAGGGGUAAAGGGUUUUGAGCUUGGAAUUCUUCAGGGGUAAAGGGUUUUGAGCUUGGAAUCUUGGAAUUCUUCAGGGGUAAAAGGUUUUGAGCUUGGAAUUCUUCAGGGGUAAAGGAUUUUGAGCUUGGAAUUUUGGAAUUCUUCAGGGGUAAAAGGUUUUGAGCUUGGAAUUCUUCAGGGGUAUAACCAUGAAAACCAUGUAUCCUCGACAGGGGGUGUACGGAUAUUAAAUGGAAUAGCCCAAUUCA